rnacentral:rRNA from 1 species
UUGAACGCUGGCGGCAUGCCUUACACAUGCAAGUCGAACGGUAGCGGGCCUUCGGGUGCCGACGAGUGGCGAACGGGUGAGUAAUGUAUCGGAACGUACCUUUCAGUGGGGGAUAACGUAGCGAAAGUUACGCUAAUACCGCAUAUUCUGUGAGCAGGAAAGCAGGGGAUCGCAAGACCUUGCGCUGAUUGAGCGGCCGAUAUCAGAUUAGCUAGUUGGUGAGGUAAAGGCUCACCAAGGCGACGAUCUGUAGCGGGUCUGAGAGGAUGAUCCGCCACACUGGAACUGAGACACGGUCCAGACUCCUACGGGAGGCAGCAGUGGGGAAUUUUGGACAAUGGGGGCAACCCUGAUCCAGCCAUGCCGCGUGAGUGAAGAAGGCCUUCGGGUUGUAAAGCUCUUUCGGCCGGGAAGAAAUCGCAUGGGUUAAUACCCUGUGCGGAUGACGGUACCGGCAUAAGAAGCACCGGCUAACUACGU